UAAUGAUUAAAAGCCGCAGCUGCGUGGUUUGAAUGUUAAUUGGGACGGGGACCAACAGAGGGACACAGAGUGCCAGUGGAAACAUCUCACAGGGCUCACCCUCGCUGUUGCUUGCAGACUAUUCCAAUUACACGUGCAGGCAAACUCUACGCAAUGACAUUUUCUGGAUUUUAAUGAAGACAAAAUGGUGUCUUUGUUGUGGAGGGGAUCUUGAGGGAGCUGCAAGACCUUACAGAGAAUAAAGUAGGUCAGCUGGCUGACAUAGGGUGCCUGUGGACAUGUUCUUUAUGCUGUUACUGCUUUGCACACAGCAGCCUUGCACAGAAAGGAAGAAGCCAUAGUUAACAUUAGUAACAGCUUGUCAUUAGAGGAAAAUAGCCUGAAGGUAUUUAUUUGAUCAUCUGAGUGGUUCUUGUCCGUCACGUUGUGGAGUUCGACAGAUACUCAGACAAUGCACUGAAUGCCUGAAACUGUAGUGCGUGAUUUGGUACCAUAGUCUGUCUGCUGGUGUGCUUCUCACCGAAAGACAGCACUAUGCAUAAAAUGCUCAUAAUUUCAGUCUCAUUUUUUCAUUCAUCAUUCUUAAGUCUGCAGAACAUUAGUUUUCUGGCUUUUUAUUUUUAAUAAAAAUGGAUCCGUCAAUCAAUUCAUCAUGACUGGGUCUACACAUUUAGAGGAUUUUUAGCUUUUUUUUAGGCUUAUGAUGGCUAUAUUUAUAACAGCCAAAUGACAGUACAAUGUAAUGGAAUAAAUGAUUAAUAGAAACAACAAACUUUGCUAUAAGUAGAUGCUAGAUGUUUAUUAUUAUAUACUGCGUGUCGAGUAAGUUAAAGACACCUGAUUCUACUGUAAAAUUAUCACCUGUGAGUGGAAAAAAAUGACGAAGAUUCUGAAACGAGACGGAUUGACGGCGAGAUUUAAUGACAGGAAGUCUUGCCUACCGCUCAAGCUUCGUCUUUAUUGAUUUGUUGUCGAGAAUAUUAUAAAAGAAUCUGCAAAAUCCAAGUGUUCCUGUUGACUGCAGCCCAUGAGUGACAGACAAUUAAAACAGGAAUGGGAUCCUUGGAGUGACACCAGAUGAAGGCUCUGUGUGCCAGGGAAAGCAGUCUCCGGAGUUAAUAACAGCCUCUAUCGGAGACUGUUAAAAGAAACAGGCAAAUUUUUCAGCUGCUGAAAUCUCAGUUUAGCGGGAGCAGGAAAUGACCGACCUCCCGUGGCUAACCCUGUGGGACCCCGCUGACCACAGCACUCAGCGCUAAACCAGCAUUACAAAGACGUCAUUACAAAUAACAUAUGUGUGACUGAUGGACACCAACUGCCUUUUAGUCAAAAGAAACAUCAACAUGGACAACAAAGAGCAUCUUUGGAGGAACAUUGCAUUCAUGUGACGGUUGCAGAGGCCCUUUGGGACAGGCUGAAAAAGCUCUUAAAUGAAUGGGAUGAAUGGGAGUGAUCGACUGCUGUCAGACAAAGGAGGAUAGACUGGCCGUGUCAUCCAGUGCUGUGUCAAUUUAUGGAUUUGCUGUUAAUUGAAAAGCUUGGCUUUUUCUGUCAUAGUCAGAUUUACGAAAUGCUGCUUUGAACUGUAUUAAUAUUUAUAUCGCUGGCAGUUUUAUGCAUUGCAGAGCAAAUGUAGAAUUUCUGAGAAACUGCAAUAUGGAGUCUAGACUUGCAAUGAGAGCAUUUUUUUUUAUUUUUAGAGGGCGCUCUUUAAGAUUUAGGAGGCCAUCACAAAUCUUUUUCAUCAUGAGUAGAUAUUCACUAUCGCAGUGCCAGCAGAGCGAGUGGGGAUUUUGAACAGUUUGAAAGGGCUUUUAUUUUGUUGGUAAUGUUUAUUAGCUGGUAUUUGAUGAAAUAUAUUAUUUGGCCCAUUUCCACUUAAAAAGAAAUAGCUGAAUUAGCUGUAUUACCUUCCUACUAUGAAAUAAAACUGUUUAGAUUAUCAUAUAUUGAUGAAUUGAAACAACAGCGCUUAACUUAUUCACAUGUGAGCUUUUUGCGAGUGUUCCGGCAAAUACACGAUGCUAUUAUAAAAAUGUAUAUUUUGUUUCAGUGCAGUGUCCUGGCCUCAAUCAAUGCGGUUCUUUUUUUUCUGGAAUCACUCAGCGUAUUGGAAAUGUCAAAUCCAUCUUAGUGGCCUCUGUAAUGAGUAGAGGGGCGCUGACUUAAAGUCAUUCAUUUUUUUUAUUGACCAUUGGAUUCCAUAAGGAAAAUCACACAGCGAGGUCUCAGUCACAUGUUAAUGAAAACACGGUGGACCUUGAAUAUAUUGCUAGAGGACCUUCCAGAGUCGCAGCCAUAGAGCAUAUUUGGACAUGGCUGAGCUAAAUCAAAUCAACAGCGAUGUCAUACACCGGCCGUAGAAAGUUGGUUUUGCACAGAAAUAAUUUGAAUGUGUCCCCAUGGUGAUUUUCCUCUUGAAUUCCUGCUCUGGCGUAACCGUUUUGCUCUUGCUGAACAUCUUCUGGGAGCUAAAACUCCAUUCCUUCAUGUUAUGUAUAAGUCAGCCAGCUAAAAUGUUAAAUAUGAGAAAAUUGAGUACAGUUGAGUUCUACUGCAAAAUCUGUGUUAUCUUUUCUUGGGAAUCUGUGUAGAAAUUGAAAUAAGUUUUUAUUACCUGGUGAAAACAGG